rnacentral:sRNA from 1 species
UAGUGACUAUUAGGGCCCACUUCUGUGA